UUGGAGGGCAAGUCUGGUGCCAGCAGCCGCGGUAAUUCCAGCUCCAAUAGCGUAUAUUAAAGUUGUUGCAGUUAAAAAGCUCGUAGUUGAAUUUCGGGGUUAGUAGGUUGGUCAUGCCUCUGGUAUGUACUGAUCUCACUGAUCCCUCCCUCUUGACGAACUGUAAUGUCAUUAAUUUGGUGUUGCAGGAAAUCAGGACUGUUACUUUGAAAAAAUUAGAGUGUUUAAAGCAGGCUAAGGCUUGAAUACAUUAGCAUGGAAUAAUGAAAUAGGACGUUUGAUCCUAUUUUGUUGGUUUCUAGGAUCGACGUAAUGAUUAAUAGGGAUAGUUGGGGGCAUUAGUAUUCAAUUGUCAGAGGUGAAAUUCUUGGAUUUAUUGAAGACUAACUACUGCGAAAGCAUUUGCCAAGGAUGUUUUCAUUAAUCAAGAACGAAAGUUAGGGGAUCGAAGACGAUCAGAUACCGUCGUAGUCUUAACCAUAAACUAUGCCGACUAGGGAUCGGAUGAUGUUAAUUUUUUAAUGACUCAUUCGGCGCCUUACGGGAAAC
rnacentral:rRNA from 1 species